rnacentral:ncRNA from 1 species
GGUCGGAUGAUGUGGAUUAAAAGGGAAUCGGGUGUAAAUCCCGGACAGUCCCGCUGCUGUGAAGCUCCGUUCAACAUUCUGAAAACAACUAAUGCCACUGACGAUUCAGUUGACAGUGGAGAGUUGACAGUUGACAGUUUUUCUGUCAGUAUUUUAUCUGUCAACUGUUAUCUGUCAACUGUCAACUAUUGCGUCGGGAAGGCUUCAGGAUGGGAGUCAGUCAGAAGACCUGCCGUUCAUUAA